rnacentral:rRNA from 11 species
UUUAAGGACCAUAUUCUCAUUUAGAAUGCACAACAUUCUCUCUGAUCUUGGAAGUGAAAAAGUGUCAGCCCUGGUUAGUAUUUGGAUAGGAGACUGCCAAUGAAUGCAGGUGCUAUAAGC